GCGCUCGUAGCUCAACUGGAUAGAGCAGGUCCCUACUAAGUUCCCGGUUGCCAGUUCGAAUCUGGCCGAGCGCACCA
rnacentral:tRNA from 1 species